rnacentral:rRNA from 1 species
GGGUUGUGAGGUUAAGCGACUAAGCGUACACGGUGGAUGCCCUGGCAGUCAGAGGCGAUGAAGGACGUGCUAAUCUGCGAUAAGCGUCGGUAAGGUGAUAUGAACCGUUAUAACCGGCGAUUUCCGAAUGGGGAAACCCAGUGUGAUUCGUCACACUAUCAUUAACUGAAUCCAUAGGUUAAUGAGGCGAACCGGGGGAACUGAAACAUCUAAGUACCCCGAGGAAAAGAAAUCAACCGAGAUUCCCCCAGUAGCGGCGAGCGAACGGGGAGCAGCCCAGAGCCUGAAUCAGUGUGUGUGUUAGUGGAAGCGUCUGGAAAGGCGUGCGAUACAGGGUGACAGCCCCGUACACAAAAAUGCACAUGCUGUGAGCUCGAUGAGUAGGGCGGGACACGUGGUAUCCUGUCUGAAUAUGGGGGGACCAUCCUCCAAGGCUAAAUACUCCUGACUGACCGAUAGUGAACCAGUACCGUGAGGGAAAGGCGAAAAGAACCCCGGCGAGGGGAGUGAAAAAGAACCUGAAACCGUGUACGUACAAGCAGUGGGAGCACGCUUAGGCGUGUGACUGCGUACCUUUUGUAUAAUGGGUCAGCGACUUAUAUUCUGUAGCAAGGUUAACCGAAUAGGGGAGCCGAAGGGAAACCGAGUCUUAACUGGGCGUUAAGUUGCAGGGUAUAGACCCGAAACCCGGUGAUCUAGCCAUGGGCAGGUUGAAGGUUGGGUAACACUAACUGGAGGACCGAACCGACUAAUGUUGAAAAAUUAGCGGAUGACUUGUGGCUGGGGGUGAAAGGCCAAUCAAACCGGGAGAUAGCUGGUUCUCCCCGAAAGCUAUUUAGGUAGCGCCUCGUGAAUUCAUCUCCGGGGGUAGAGCACUGUUUCGGCAAGGGGGUCAUCCCGACUUACCAACCCGAUGCAAACUGCGAAUACCGGAGAAUGUUAUCACGGGAGACACACGGCGGGUGCUAACGUCCGUCGUGAAGAGGGAAACAACCCAGACCGCCAGCUAAGGUCCCAAAGUCAUGGUUAAGUGGGAAACGAUGUGGGAAGGCCCAGACAGCCAGGAUGUUGGCUUAGAAGCAGCCAUCAUUUAAAGAAAGCGUAAUAGCUCACUGGUCGAGUCGGCCUGCGC